GACGAACGCUGGCGGCGUGCUUAACACAUGCAAGUCGAGGGCGGUAGCAAUACCGACCGGCGAACGGGUGCGUAACACGUGAGCAACCUGCCUUGAUGCGGGGGAUAGCCGGCCCAACGGCCGGGUAAUACCGCGUACGGUCGUCUGGAGGAGUCUCCGGACGAAGAAACCCUUCGGGGGCAUCAAGAGGGGCUCGCGGCCUAUCAGCUUGUUGGCGGGGUAACGGCCCACCAAGGCGAUGACGGGUAGCUGGUCUGAGAGGAUGGCCAGCCACAUUGGGACUGAGAAACGGCCCAGACUCCUACGGGAGGCAGCAGUGGGGAAUAUUGCGCAAUGGUCGAAAGGACUGACGCAGCGACGCCGCGUGAGGGAGGAAGCUCUUCGGGGUGUAAACCUCUGUUGCCCGGAACGAAACUCACCUUUCGAGGUGAUUGACGGUACCGGGUGAGGAAGCGCCGGCUAACUCUGUGCCAGCAGCCGCGGUAAUACAGAGGGCGCGAGCGUUGCCCGGAAUCACGU
rnacentral:rRNA from 1 species